rnacentral:rRNA from 1 species
CCCCUAGACGUUCUGGGCUGCACGCGCGCUACAAUAAUACGCACAGCGAGUAUCACCGAGCUCGAAAGGGCAAGGUAAACAAUAGAAAAGGUACUGUAAUGGUUAUAGAUCCUUGUAAUUAUUGAUCUUCAACGAGGAAUUCCUAGUAAGUAUGUGUCAUCAUCACGCACUGAUUACGUCCCUGCCCUUUGCACACACCGCCCGUCGCUCCUACCGAUUGAGUGAGCCGAUGAAACUGCCGGAUGUGGACUAUUCAUAGUCUGCAGAAGAUAUUUGAAUCGUAGCGCUUAGAGGAAGGAGAAGUCGUAACA